GACGAACGCUGGCGGCGCGCUUAACACAUGCAAGUCGAACGGUAAGGCCCUUCGGGGUACACGAGUGGCGAACGGGUGAGUAACACGUGGGUGAUCUGCCCUGCACUUCGGGAUAAGCCUGGGAAACUGGGUCUAAUACCGGAUAGGACCACUGCCUGCAUGGGUGGUGGUGGAAAGCUUUUGCGGUGUGGGAUGGGCCCGCGGCCUAUCAGCUUGUUGGUGGGGUGAUGGCCUACCAAGGCGACGACGGGUAGCCGGCCUGAGAGGGUGACCGGCCACACUGGGACUGCGAUACGGCCCAGGCUCCUACGGGAGGCAGCAGUGGGGAAUAUUGCACAGUGGGCGCAAGCCGGAUGCAGCGACGCCGCGUGAGGGAUGACGGCCUUCGGGUUGUAAACCUCUUUCAGCACCGACGAAGCGCAAGUGACGGUAGGUGCAGAAGAAGGACCGGCCAACUACGUGCCAGCCGCCGCCGUAA
rnacentral:rRNA from 1 species